rnacentral:rRNA from 1 species
AGAGUUUGAUCCUGGCUCAGAGCGAACGCUGGCGGUAUGCUUAACACAUGCAAGUCGAGCGAGAAAAUGGCUUCGGCCAUGAGUACAGCGGCGGACGGGUGAGUAAUACAUGGAUAAUCUGCCUUUAGGACUGGGACAACCCUGGGAAACUAGGGCUAAUACCGGAUAAGACCACAGAAUCUGCGGAUUCAGUGGUAAAAGGUGGCUUUCGGGCUAUCACCUAGAGAUGAGUCCAUGUCCCAUCAGGUUGUUGGUGAGGUAACGGCCCACCAAGCCUAAGACGGGUAGCCGGCCUUAGCGGGUGAUCGGCCACACGGGGACUGAGACACGGCCCAGACUCCUACGGGAGGCAGCAGUGGGGAAUCUUGCGCAAUGGGCGAAAGCCUGACGCAGCAACGCCGCGUGUGUGAUGAAGGCCCUCGGGUCGUAAAGCACUGUCAGGAGGGAAGAAGAUCUGACGGUACCUCCAAAGGAAGCACCGGCUAACUCCGUGCCAGCAGCCGCGGUAAUACGGAGGGUGCAAGCGUUGUUCGGAAUUAUUGGGCGUAAAGCGCGCGCAGGUGGCUAACCAAGUCUGGUGUGAAAGCCCGGGGCUCAACCUCGGAACUGCAUUGGAAACUAGUUGGCUUGAGUCCCAGAGGGGUUAGUGGAAUUCCUGGGGUAGGGGUGAAAUCCGUAGAGAUCCGGAGGAACACCCGU